UACGUAGGUGGCAAGCGUUGUCCCGGAUUUAUUGGGUUUAAAGGGUGCGUAGGCGGCUUAAUAAGUCAGUGGUGAAAGCCGAUCGCUUAACGAUCGAACUGCCAUUGAUACUGCUAGGCUUGAGUAUAGAUGAGGUAGGCGGAAUUGACAGUGUAGCGGUGAAAUGCAUAGAUAUUGUCAAGAACACCAAUUGCGAAGGCAGCUACUAAGUUAUAACUGACGCUGAGGCACGAAAGUGCGGGGAUCAAACAGG
rnacentral:rRNA from 1 species